CAGCAGAGGUUAUUUUCUGAGCUUGUCGGUUCAAUGCAGUUUCUACAAUUAAGAAUUGCAAAACGCUUUUUUUCUGAGAAUUGUUUGUUGUAUCGUAAUUAGGUUAUGGAGACCUACGGUUAUGCAGUUGCUAAUUUAUAUUUUUGUUAUAGCUUGUAGGAAGUAGUCAGUAGUUUUCAAGUACCAAACACUCUCCAUGAGCUUAAUUGUCCUUAUGAGGAUAACAUGUGUUGUUUUUUUCACCGUUGAAUAUGCCCUAAAUUAUAAAAUUGGAGUAUGAGCUCCUUGCUGGAAGCUAGUACCUGAAUUAUUUUCCUUGGGUAUGCUCUCGUGAUUAUACACUAUAUAAAGGCUGAUCAGAUUAGCCCAUCCGUAUUAAUUUGGCUACUGUAGAAUGGCUAAUUUCCUUCGAUUUGCUUCCAUCAUUGGUUGACGCGUGUCUCUCAGUACAAUUUCUUGCCUAAGUUGAUCGUGCGUUUCCUUUUUUUCCGGGCAGGAAGGCAACCGGCUACCGGCUGAGUCUUCCUUUCCUUCGUAUCCAUCCGGGAUUCUUCCAGUUUCCUUCCAUCACGGUCAAAGCGGUGCGGCCCCACCAUUAAACAGUCCAGAAACUCCACGAUUCUCAUUAUCACGAUACCAAAUUAAAUAGAAACACGAACAACGACCAGUUCGUCCCAAUUAUCGCCGCCGCCGCCGCCUGUAUCCUCCCAGCAGAGGCCGGUUUCCUCCUCUCCCUCCCUAGCCGAUGAUCCGUGUGCUCAGGCCGCCCAUCAGGCCACCCUUCUCUCCCUCCGGAUGAGGUUCGCCUUCCUCUCCCUCCUGGUCGACGAGAAGCGUACAGAGGCAGUCAUCGAGGCAUUCUGUCCUUCCGGAGGAGUCCAACGGCGAGGAGGAGUACGGAGCGCCCAUCUCCAUCCCAGGGGAGGAUGUAAUCAGCGCCCUCCUCUACUUCCCGAGGCAGCAGGUAAAUGGGAGGAGCUGACGGGAGGGGUUAGGUGUCCAAUCUUCUUCCCAAGACGGCUAAUGGCACGGAGGAGGACAUCGGUAUCCUCCUCUCCCUCCUGAGGAAGCUCGGCUAUGGGAGGAUCCGACGCUGACGAUGCUCUCUUCUAAAUGUAUCUGCCGCCGUGACCCCUCUAUUCUUUGUGCAGGACGGAUUUUUUUGCAGGGAGGAGCGACUAAAUUCUUAAGAUUUUUGCUUGCAGUGGCUGAAGAUACAAUGACAAAUAUCUACGGUUGCUCUAGCUAUAUUUGGCAAAGAAUGGGGGUGCAAGAAUGAAUAAUAGAAAUUGUGUUUUUUUUGCAAUCAUGAUCGAAUGAUAGGCUGAUAGCUGUAUUUACUUCCGAUUCAAAUUAUGUGUCACCAUUGAACCUAUCUGAAGUACCUGUAGAAGCACCAUUUUUGUAGGCAUAGUAUUGUGAGUACUUUUGUAUCGGUGAGCAUCCGUGUGAAACAAAAUUGUCAAUUCUUGGUUGAAGGCAUAUAGUUUCUACUUGCUACUACUUCUUAUUAGGUUUGUAUUUUCUGUAUUCUUGCACCCAUUGCUGCAAAUAUGUAGAGGGAUAAGGUGUACAUCAAUCUGUCAACCCAGCACUCUAAUUUACCAGUUAGACCUUUCUUGGAUUGACACUAGACAACUGCGAGGUUUUCAGACAUAUAUUUGUUUCCAAGUGCCACAGUGGCUAGGAGCGGAGAGGACAUCAUCACCGAUGAGCAGGAGAGGGCCGUAAGGCUCCAGGAGGCCAGUACAAGAAGGAGGCGUUGGCAGAUAUAACCAAUGUGUAGCAGGAGCCGCGUCGCCUCCUCAACGAAGUCCAACAAUGUGAUAGCUCAUCCAUUCAUCCAUCUGAUCAAUGGUGAGCUCAUCGUCCAUGGAUCAUGGGUCCACCGUAAGCUGGAUUAUGAUCUGAGUGUUUAUUCCAAAAAUUAUGCCGUUUGAUUCUUUUGCCAGAGCUGAGAACCAUGGCUGGCCAGAUCAUGCUGGGGAUGAACCGUCAAAUGGAGGAGGAGAAUCGGGUGCUCAAGGCAGCACUUAUGAACCCAUUCAUUCCACAAAAUAUACCUAUUUCUUUGAGAUUUUAAGGUUAGUCAUGAUUUUGUUCUCCUUAUGUAAGAUUACUGAGGCCACUUCCUUUUUUAUGUGCCUUCAAAAACCGUGAUGGUCUUGAGACAUUCUAAACUAUGCACAAGUAUUUUGAGCUUAAUGGAAUUUCCAUAUUUGUGUGAAAUUCGGAUAAAUCAAACAAUUAAUUUCCUUUGAAUAGGCAUGAUCAUCAUGUACCAGAUGCAGAUGCAUAUUUCAGCUGCUGGACCUGCACGUCUUGGAUGCACCUGUAGCUAUUAAAAAUGGAAAAGAGGUUGCCAUUGUUCCAAAAAUGUCAAAAGCUAACCUUUCAUUUUCUAGUUUCACAUUGUUCCUCUUCCUUUCAUAUACACAACUUUGGAAGAUGAAGUGGGUCCCGAUGGGAAGAAGAGACGUCAUAGCGUUAAUCCUAUAAUGACCUAUGAAUUGACAGUGUAAGUCUAUGCUCUCAUGCAGCGCAAGAAAGCGCAGGUGUGCAUUUUUUGGCCCUACCAAUCAAUUAAAUUAGCACCUGAAGUGUGUUUGUCAGACAUGGCAUGUUUUAGUUCAUUGGAAACUGAUACGACAUAUAUUCUGGACUGGAUAUAUGGGGUCUAGCUUUGCAAUUUUCGUUACAUCAGACUCAGUAAGGGUACAUACAGAUUUCAAGCCUUCACUUUUUUUUUCAAGGCAUCAAGUUUCCUAUCCCUUUUGCAUUGGUGUUUGUGGUGCCUAAGAAAUUUAGAUGCCUGACCUUGAAGCACAGGAUCUGCUCUCUGGUCGAAGAAUUUUAUUUUCUGUUCCUUCUUAUGUUCGAGUUUUUUGGUGGCUAGAAUGUUUGGUUGACUGGCCCUGAAGUGCAUGGUCUUCUUCAUAGAUCAGUGACGGAAUGACCUUGGCACAACACAAUAAGUGUUUACUACCCAUACAACAUCCCCAUAGUGGUUCCACACUGUCAUCUGGAACUAAAUGCAAAAGAGAGACAGCGUCCGCAUCCUGCCUGAUACGAUGAAAAGCAAAUGCCCACGGCUUGAUGUGGCUAUAAAUGCUGAUACAGUCCUAUAUGCUGUGUUUUCUACCUAGAUGCUUAUGUGGAACAAGGGUAUAAUCAGGGAAUUAACUUCAAAUGACUGUAAAUAGCAGCUGCAAAUAUUCAGUGCUUACGUUACCUUCAGAAGUUGGUGCAAUUGUGAAUAUAGUUUAUUUAGUAUAAAUCCUGCCGUUGAUACCUUAUGUAUGCUUUCUAUUACCGGCUGGUACUAUGUUAUGCUGCAACCAGUAGUUUCUUUUCUGUACUCUGUGUUUCUAUAGACGUAACAAGCAUACUGAAGGUUAUCCCUUAUAUCAGCUGGCUUAAUUUGUGUCACUUCCGAUCGUUGUAACCAGUUCACUUAGUGAGAAGCCAUGG